rnacentral:rRNA from 1 species
CCUACGGGAGACAGCAGUGAGGAAUAUUGGUCAAUGGGCGGGAGCCUGAACCAGCCAAGCCGCGUGAGGGAAGAAGGUACAGCGUAUCGUAAACCUCUUUUGUCAGGGAACAAAGGCGGGGACUAGUCCCCGGAUGAGGGUACCUGAAGAAAAAGCAUCGGCUAACUCCGUGCCAGCAGCCGCGGUAAUACGGAGGAUGCGAGCGUUAUCCGGAUUUAUUGGGUUAAAAGGGUGCGCAGGCGGUCUGUUAAGUCAGCGGUCAAAGCCCGGGGCUCAACCCCGGCCCGCCGUUGAAACUGGCAGUCUCGAGUUGGAGAGAAGUAUGCGGAAUGCGCGGUGUAGCGGUGAAAUGCAUAGAUAUCGCGCAGAACUCCGAUUGCGAAGGCAGCAUGCCGGCUCCACACUGACGCUGAGGCACGAAAGCGUGGGUAUCGAACAGGAUUAGAUACCCCAGUAGUC